GGCUGGUCCGAUGGUAGUGGGUUAUCAGAACUUAUUAACAUUAGUGUCACUAAAGUUGGUAUACAACCCCCCACUGCUAGAUUUGACUGGCUUUU
rnacentral:Y_RNA from 1 species